AGGAAUGCUACCUGGUGAUCCUGCCAGAGUAG
rnacentral:rRNA from 1 species